rnacentral:rRNA from 1 species
UACGUAGGGAGCAAGCGUUGUCCGGAAUCAUUGGGCGUAAAGCGCGCGUAGGCGGCCUCAUAAGUCCGUUGUGAAAGUCAAAGGCUCAACCUUUGAAAGCCGAUGGAUACUGUGAGGCUAGAGUCCGGAAGAGGCGAGUGGAAUUCCUGGUGUAGCGGUGGAAUGCGCAGAUAUCAGGAGGAACACCAAUAGCGAAGGCAGCUCGCUGGGACGGUACUGACGCUAAGGCGCGAGAGCGUGGGGAGCGAACAGG